GCCAGCAGCCGCGGUAAUACGGAAGGUCCGGGCGUUAUCCGGAUUUAUUGGGUUUAAAGGGAGCGUAGGCCGGAGAUUAAGCGUGUUGUGAAAUGUAGACGCUCAACGUCUGCACUGCAGCGCGAACUGGUUUCCUUGAGUACGCACAAAGUGGGCGGAAUUCGUGGUGUAGCGGUGAAAUGCUUAGAUAUCACGAAGAACUCCGAUUGCGAAGGCAGCUCACUGGAGCGCAACUGACGCUGAAGCUCGAAAGUGCGGGUAUCGAACAGGAUUAGAUACCCUGGUAGUCCGCACGGUAAACGAUGGAUGCCCGCUGUUGGUCUGAAUAGGUCAGCGGCCAAGCGAAAGCAUUAAGCAUCCCACCUGGGGAGUACGCCGGCAACGGUGCAACUCAAAGGAAUUGACGG
rnacentral:rRNA from 1 species